AAAUUUAUGGAAUUAAAUCUUCAUAGUUAGGCUACAUCGUAGCCCUAGUAAAAUAAAUUAGUUCAUGGGAAUAUAAAGAGAAUCCAUUAAUUUAAUUAGAAACAUUCAAGCAAGAUAAUAGAAAAGAGAGAAAGAAAAACUCAAGAAUUAAUGCGUCUUUCUCCUGCUUCAAAUUAUUCCUGCUGCUCUCGGUUUUGUUCAAGACUUCCGGCUGCUGCUCUCUAUUUUCUUUUUCUCUCGGCUUCAAUUCUUCUUGUGCGACUGACUUCUUUCCUUUCAUUCUCCCGCAAGUAUAGCAUUUAUAUUAGCUUAUAUUGUGCGCCCUAAAUUCUCACAUGGAAAGAAAAAAAAACAAAAGCCAAGCCGCCCCUUUUAAGCCCAUGCACGCUCAACUUGUAAAAUUUAAUUGGCCAAUUUGCAAAGCCAAAGCCCAUCACGUGCAUGCCAUAUCUUCUUUGUAAAUAAAUUCUUCAAUGCUUCCCCACGUGCAUGCAUGCUUAAAGAUUAAUUAAAAUAAAUCCUUUGUGAUUUGUUCCAAUUAAUUCUCUUUAUUGCUUUCCGUUUUUGAUUCCUUCAAGUUGAUUUCCUCCUUAAUGUUCCGAUUUUAUUCUUCUUUAAUCUCAUAUUGUACCUAAAACAACAAAAUAUAAAAAUUAAAAUAAAAUUAACAUAAUAAAAUAUAAUUUAACAUAAAAUUAAGUUAUAAAAAUAUUAAAAUAAUAGAUAAAUUAUGAGCACAUCAUGACUGACUCACCCUCUCAUUUUACAUUUGACGUGUGUCCCUAUUUUUAUUUAUAUCUAUUUGUUGUUUCUCUUGUCUCUUAUAUUCAUUGUCUUAUUUAACUUAACAAUCAUCCCAUAUAUUUGCAAUAAUUACAGCCAUACCACUUUCUAUUUAACACAAUAUCCUUUCAAAAUUUAAAUAAAAUGAUUUUUGAACAAACACCUCAAAACUCCCCAAUUUCUUCUUGAAAAUUGUUUCCAAUCACUUCUCCUCAAUUUCAAUAAAUUACUUUCAACUACUUAUCUCAAGUUCCAAAGAAGCCAUAAAGAGCAAAAACUUAUAAAUUUUUUUAGAACCACACAUAUAUUUAAAUAAAUAAACAACAAACAAAUAAAUUAUUUCUUGAUACUUUUUUAAUUAUCUGGAGAGUUAUCUAGAGUAAUAUAUUUCAAACAUGAUGAGACCAAAAUGGGUCAAGGAUAAAUAUAAACAAUAAUAUUUAUAUAAAAUUUAGCAUUGUAUGCACCUAUUUAAAUUUCAAAAUUUAAAAAUACGUAAUUUUAUAAUUAUUUACACAUAAUUUCAAAGUUUUUUUUAUGACAAUGAAAAAAGACCAAAUAAAUUAACAAAUUCUAUAAUAUAAUCAUUAAACAAAUACACAACCUUUUAAUACAUACAACGACUCAAAUAAUUUAAUAAUUAUUAAGUAAUUUUUAUGUUCUAAUUAAAAUCCACUAGUGUAAGUAAUUCAUGUGAUAUUGUGAAAUGUAUACUUAAUAAAAGAAAAGUAAAAAUUAACAAAGAUGCAAGAAGAUUUAAGGUUAGAGAAUUUGCUGGAUGAUAUUUUGAAACAAAAAUUUUAUUUUAUGUUUUUUUUAAAGAAAAAACCUCUGCACUCAUGUGGCUUCUCUUGAGAUUGAGGAGAAACAAUUGAGAGAUAAAAGUGUUCAAGGAAGUUUACGGUUGAAGGGGUAAUGUUGUAAAAUUGAAUAUGAUAUGGAUGUAUUAUUGUGAGAUUAUUGAGUGAUGUUUAAGUUAAAUAAAAUAAUGAUUCAAGAGACAAUAAUACAUGUGUGCUUCUCAGUACACAUAAAAGAUGUGUUAUGGGACACAUAUAGAAUUUAGAAUCAGCGAGUGAGGCUAGCACCCCUCAUGUUACAUUUGUCAAUUACUAAUCAUGAGAAAAUUUUGUAUAGGUUAGUCCUGCUAUGCUAAGUUAGUAGGAUUAGUCCUUAAACCUCUAUCAAAAUUUUAGAAUACAUUAGAAGUAUCGUAUUAGCUAUAUAACAAGUAAAUGGUACUGUAACAUUUAUGUAUUUAUUUUGACAAAUGACCAUGCAAGUGGUGGUUAUAUUAAAUUUAAUUACACAUAUCAUACAUGCAUUAAUUAAUUAUAUUAUCUCUGAUAUAUUUUAAAAUUCAUCCAGUGAGUACUAAGCCAUAUGAUAGGAUUUUAAAUGGGCUCUUAUGAGACAUAAAAAAUAGUGGAUCCCACAAUGUGACUUACUUAUUUUAUUAAAUGACAAAACCUUGGUAGCUGGUAUGAGGUGAUCAAUGACCUACCCAAGUUUCUCUCUCUAAAUACUAUGUGAUACUUAGGGAUGGCAAUGAGAGAGUUAUAAGUUGGAUUUACCCUACUUUAAAUCUAGAUCUGUGAAAAUUUGAGAUAUGUGUCUACACCAAAUCAAACAUGGAUCUAUAAUUUUUGCUCCAUAUCUAGAUCUAAAAAUUAAAAAAAAAAGAUUUAGAUCUGCUCCAAAAUUCAUCAUAAAUUUAUCAAUUUUAAUUUUUUAGAAAGCUAAUUUUAAAUUUUUUUUUUUUAUAGAUUAUAAGAGAAGAGAAUAUGAAAAAAUUUAUACUUAUUUUACUCUAUGUUUGGAAAGGAAACAUGAGGCCAAUGAUGAAGCGCCACGUGUCGAUAUUUGAGAAAUUAGUUUAUCUCUGGUACCUUGGGUACCCCAGGUACCCUAGGUACUCUGGGGGUACCUCGGGUACACCAUGUAAGGAUAUAAAAAGUCUUUGUAAAAAUGUGAAUGGAUAUGUGGGCCUCGAAUCUAAAAAAGAUCGGUUGAAUACGUGUCAAAAAAUAAGGAAUCGGUGAGGAAAUCUCAUGCUAUAAAAGAGGAGACAGCCGCCUGUCACGCCAGCGAAUCCACCAAAAGUUUGAUAUUAUGAAGGUUGGGACCACCAGCUUUUCCUGCUACGCCUGCAAAAUUACAACGGAAUUGCAGAGGUACGCGGGACCACUCCACUACGCCUAGCACGUGAAUACGCCACAAACUUGCUCUCCACGUAUAUUUUUGAAACGCCUAAGCCGCCAUACGCGUGAAAAUAAGAAUAUUCUUGACAUGACAGCAGGGAACGCCACUAAAAUAGCGCCAGGUGGCACGGCGACCGGGGUACACCAUAUAAAUACUCAGGUUUAAUUUUUAUCAAUUAAGUUCACAGACACACCACAAAAAAUCAAGGUUUCUUCAACCUCAAAACCUCCAUUACCGAGAGCUUGAAAGCUCUCUAACCUGAGAUAACCCAACUCUGACUUGAGCGUCGGAGUGUGGUCGCCGGCCACCCCCGACUCCACCUCUAACCUCUUUUUUGGUUGUUUUGCAGGUUUAAAACGAGUUUCACCAGCCCUCCGCACCUGAAGUCAGACUCCCUCCAUAUCCACCGCCAUCUCAAUCCUCCUUCACUCCACAAAAAGCCUAAACAGCCCGCACGAGCCGAACAAGCGAGGCACCCCACUCCUCGAUAAAAGAUAAAUUUAUUGUUCUUAGCUUGGUUUUGUGGUUUUUUAUUCAUUGACCCAAAAUCAGCCGCAAACACUCUAAAACACUAGAAGAAAAAUAAUAGAGCAACAAAUAUUUGAGAAAAAAAAAUAUUGUUAUUAACUGAAAUGCAUAAUUCACUCAAUUAAAAUUAUGAAGAAAACUUUGAAUUUCAUAUAAAACUAGUAAAUAUGGUAUGUUAUAAGUGUGACACUAAUUUAAUAAGUUAUGUAUAAAUUUAAUUUGACUAUAAAAAUAAUAAACAAUUGACAGUUAAAUACUUUUAAAAAUUAAAUUAAAUUUUAUGGAUCCAAGUUUUAAGUUACAUUUAUAUCUACUCCAAAUUUAUUCUGAGUUUGCUCAUUUAAAUCUAUAUUCACUCCGAAUUCAUUUUAGACCGAACCAAAUUUGAUCAAUCUAGAUUUAUAUCACGUGGCUCACAUAUUAGAAGGUAUAACAGAAUAAAAUUUUGCGUUAGGGUUAUUUUGGUAACUUCAAAAAUGGAUUUUAGGUGCAAAGUAGCAAAGAGCGCCACCUUUCGUAAGUAGUGAAAAAAUUUACCUCAGAACUUCCGCCCCAAGGCCCAAACACAGAGAAAUUUUCUGCCACUCUUCUCGAACGGUGAAACCCUUGAAGCAGCAAAAAUAAUUAAACAUGGCAGCCCCAGCUUUGACUUCAUCUCUAUCUUAUUCUUUAGCAACAGC
rnacentral:lncRNA from 1 species